CGAACAAAAAAGAGAAACGAAGUUACCAGAGCAAUACGUGCGUCGGACACAAUCCACCGUUUCGGAAGAGAGGAUCAGGAAUGCGAAGCGGAGUGCGAUCAACAACGUCGUUGCAAUCGUCGUUGCUAAUGAACAAACAUAAAUUAAUUUACGGCGAUAUUUUGUUGAAAUACGCGACGGAUAUUUGUCAACGACUGUACAAUACAAAUGAAGCAAUGUGAAAAUACAUCAGGUUCCACUAUAUAUUUUUCGGAUUCUACAAAAAAAAACACAAAGGAUUAUCACAAGUUUCAAACUUGAACUCCACAUCAUCUCAACAAGAUGCAAAUGACAACGAUACUUCAUACGAAAUAGAUGAAGAACCAUGCAUCGUUACAAAAGAAAAAAAUCGAAACAAUGUAGUACAUAAUCGACAUGUUAAUAAAAUUAAGGAAGUUGAUCGAUCUAACAUAUAUGCGCGAGAAAAUCGAUAUACAAAUGAGGAAAAAGAAAAUAACAAUUUAAAAGAUCAGUCUUCACAAGCUGCAAUUAUGGAUCAUUUAAAGAGAUUGACUAGAGAAAUAGCAACUGUAAAAUACGAUAUGAGACAAGCACUAUCUCUAUUGGAUAUUUUAGUGGACAAAAGCAACAGAAGCACAGAAUGUGAAAAUACGAGAUUUUCUUACGAAGGCGCUAAAAGUCGAUUUCCUUUAGAAACUAGAGCCCAAUUAACGGAAAUUGAGGAAAUU